rnacentral:rRNA from 1 species
UACAGAGGUCCCAAGCGUUGUUCGGAUUCACUGGGCGUAAAGGGUGCGUAGGUGGUUAGGUAAGUCCGAUGUGAAAUCUCCAGGCUCAACCUGGAAAUGGCAUUGGAUACUAUUUAGCUUGAGGAGUGGAGGGGGGACUGGAAUUCUCGGUGUAGCAGUGAAAUGCGUAGAUAUCGAGAGGAACACCAGUGGCGAAGGCGAGUCCCUGGACACUUCCUGACACUGAGGCACGAAAGCCAGGGGAGCAAACAGG